UACGGGAGGCCACCAGUAGGGAAUUUUUCCCACAAUGGACCCCAAGUUCUGAUGGAGCAACCCCCGCGUGAAUGAAGAAAGGGUUUCGGCUCGUAAAGCUCUGUUGUUAAAGAAGAACGUGGGUAAGAGUAACUGUUUACCCAGUGACGGUAUUUAACCAGAAAGCCACGGCUAACUACGUGCCAGCAGCCGCGGUAAUACGUAGGUGGCAAGCGUUAUCCGGAUUUAUUGGGCGUAAAGCGAGCGCAGGCGGUCUUUUAAGUCUAAUGUGAAAGCCUUCGGCUCAACCGAAGAAGUGCAUUGGAAACUGGGAGACUUGAGUGCAGAAGAGGACAGUGGAACUCCAUGUGUAGCGGUGAAAUGCGUAGAUAUAUGGAAGAACACCAGUGGCGAAGGCGGCUGUCUGGUCUGCAACUGACGCUGAGGCUCGAAAGCAUGGGUAGCGAACAGGAUUAGAUACCCUGGUAGUCCAUGCCGUAAACGAUGAUUACUAAGUGUUGGAGGGUUUCCGCCCUUCAGUGCUGCAGCUAACGCAUUAAGUAAUCCGCCUGGGGAGUACGACCGCAAGGUUGAAACUCAAAAGAAUUGACGGGGGCCCGCACAAGCGGUGGAGCAUGUGGUUUAAUUCGAAGCUACGCGAAGAACCUUACCAGGUCUUGACAUCUUCUGACAGUCUAAGAGAUUAGAGGUUCCCUUCGGGGACAGAAUGACAGGUGGUGCAUGGUUGUCGUCAGCUCGUGUCGUGAGAUGUUGGGUUAAGUCCCGCAACGAGCGCAACCCUUAUUACUAGUUGCCAGCAUUAAGUUGGGCACUCUAGUGAGACUGCCGGUGACAAACCGGAGGAAGGUGGGGACGACGUCAAAUCAUCAUGCCCCUUAUGACCUGGGCUACACACGUGCUACAAUGGAUGGUACAACGAGUCGCGAGACCGCGAGGUUAAGCUAAUCUCUUAAAACCAUUCUCAGUUCGGACUGUAGGCUGCAACUCGCCUACACGAAGUCGGAAUCGCUAGUAAUCGCGGAUCAGCAUGCCGCGGUGAAUACGUUCCCGGGCCUUGUACACACCGCCCGUCACACCAUGAGAGUUUGUAACACCCAAAGCCGGUGGGGUAACCUUUAGGAGCUAGCCGUCUAAGGUGACAGAGAAUUGU
rnacentral:rRNA from 1 species